GCAGGUUCUUAGUUGACUUGAGUAAUUGGUACUUCUUGUAAUUGGUGAUAGUGAGUGUUAAACAGCCGAACAUUUCCGUAAGAAAACAGAUCAAUCCAAAGGAAAUGACUUCUUGUGAUACCACACUACGCAGUUGAUUUCACGAAAACGGACGGGUGGAAUGUGGAAUUUGAAUGCGGAACGGACGGAAGUAUAACAUCUUUUCUCAAUCCAUGCUGCACAUUACACCAGUAACAGGUCACUGACCUAUGCGUUUAAUACCAUCCCCAUGUGCUAUUCAGCAAUGCACCACUGAUAAUACGUAUAAAAGGUGAGAAGAAAAGUUAUUUAGAAAAGAAACAUUAAGAAACAAAGAAUUAUUAUGAAACUGGGAUAUGUGAUACCUAUUUUUUUUUAAUGUAAUUAAGUAUGGGAAUUAAACAUGUAAAGUUAAUUUUGAUUCUUCGCAAUAAUAUGAUUUUGCGUUUCCGACCGUCGUCAAGUCCGUCAAGAUAUCUUGUAGAACAAUUUCAUUUGGUGCUAUUCUUGAUAUUCAGCAUUCGUCUCUAGAUGACACUGAUUAUCCGACAAUUAAAAAAAAAGUAACAUUCACUUCUUCCACAGGCAUAUUCUACUGUUGCAGCCAAAACUUUCGGAAACUUGUUCGCCUGGCGUCAGAAUAACAUCUUGGUGGGCAGAUGCGGGCGCUUGCCUCGGGUCCUCCAUAACGGGCGGGUAUUGAGGAUAGCCGUCGUAAAUGUUUGGAUUCGAUCGAGGAGCCAAUCGAGUGUUAACUAAUUGCUUCACUCGCGCCAGUCGAACAGCGAUGGGAACAUCAGUGACGGGAGCCAUCACUCUGUCAUCGAAAAAAUCUUCAUCGGUAGUGUCCUCUUCCGAAUGCUGGUAAUAAUAUCCUCUGUCGAUGGGCGUUGGCGUUUCGGGUGUGCUUGCUCGUCCAACUAAUCCAGUAAAUAUGUUUGUCAGAGAUCUUAUCACAUCGAAGAAGCCGACCUGUUGAUGGCUAGGAUUCCCUGUAGCCUGAUCGGUCGUCUUCCACUGAUUGGCUCCUUCUCCGGGCCAAACUGACGUCGUCCCCAUGUCGGCGCUGGCAGAUUCGCUCACAAUUUGAUCACCGGUCGUCUGCGGGUAAUAGACAUUUUCCACUCCGGCUCCAGCGUAGGCGAAGUUUGAAUCUCCGGUCAUCAGCGGUUGCGAAUCUUCCCCGGCCGAAUUAGCGUUGGUGACGAACGAAUCAGCCGCAUCCAAAAUGGUCACGAUCACCAAUGCUCCGAGGAGCUACAAGAAACAAACGAGAAAACACAAAGGACAUCUCCAGACCCUUCUUUCUCUUCAACCGAGCCCUCAUUGCCCUCAUCGGACUCUGCUGGAACGAAAUGGACGCCAUGCUGAGCCAUUCCCGUUUGAUUUCGGACAUCCUGCUGGUACGGCUGGUUGCUGGGAACUCUGAAAAUCACCUCCACGGAGACGUCGUCGUCGUUCAUGUUGGGGUGCAGGUAAACAGCAUGCUGGACGUCACUCACCUUGGUUGGAACCAUAUCGGCCAUGGCCACCUCGGAGCUGUGGUCAUCGGACUUGGCAGUGAUGUUGAAUUCCAAUUCCGCAGAAACGUCGUCGACUUCCAGUGAAUUUUCCUCCAGCGGCGAUGGGGGAACACCUGCCGGAGUUUCUCUCAGCGGGACGCCGUAAUAAGGGUCGAAGUAAGGUGCGCGACUUGCGUCAUCAUCAUCAUCCUCGGAGAUUUGAGACUUAACCCAGCCAUCAUAACUACAAGAUAUACAAACUGUUUGCUUGUGCUGACAUUGAUUUGCCAUCAGCAACAAUCUCAGCAUCACCACUUGGAUUAAACAGCAUGCCAUUUUAUUGGAGAAACUACCAAUGUCGAUCGAGUUACGUCACUCUUCUCCCCCUUUCUUUAAAUGUCCAAGUGUAUGCCCAUGUGAGUGUGGGUGUAUUCACGAGGACCUCCUUUUUCCUAACCUGCCUGCUGGAUUCAACUCUUCAACGGAUGGAGCACCUGUGGAUGCCUGGCUGCAUUUCCCAGGCUUAAAGAUUUGAGGUCUGCGACAUCCAUCAUAUCUACAAGAUCUACAAGUUUUGCCUGUGCUGGUCUUGAUCACUUUGAUCACAUUGAUGUGUCAUCAGCCACAAUCUCAGCAUCACCACUUGGAUUAAACAGCAUCCCUCUUCAUUGGAAAAACUACUGAUGUCGAUCGAGUUACGGAUCUCUUCGUUUCCUUUUCUUUCCCUCUUCUUUGUUUAAAAUGUCCAAGUGUAUGCCCAUGCGAGUGUGGGUGUAUUCACGAGGACCUCCUUUUUCCUAACCUGCCUGCUGGAUUCAACUCUUCAACGGAUGGAGCAACUAUGGAUGCCUGGCUGUGGAUUUCCUGGGCUUAAAGGGAAUUAACUGGUGAGGGGCUACAGCAGCAACUUUUGGAUACUCAUCUGUGCUGUUCGGCACAAUUAAAUGUAAGUUAUUCUGACUGCAUCUCCUACUUAACAGCUACGAGAAAUGAGCAGUAGGACACCUGCACAAGAUUUGAGGAGAAAAGCUACGGCUUGCUUCAAUAGCUUUUUAUUUAUCUUCAUUAUUUAUCGGCACCAACUAAUAACAACCAGAAAGACCGCAGGAAUACAGCAUAAAAAGACAGUCUACAGGAGCGCAUAAAUAUUAAAUAAAGAGUCGACGUUUCUAAUUUCAUUACUACAAAUGGCAAUGUUGCGCGUUCCUUUCAAGAUGUCUGCUGGCAUUUAUCACGAGAAGUGACAGCAAGUGACAACAUUACCGGAGUAUGGUUUCUCGCCUUCUGCCGGUUUGUAGAAUGCAUUUUCUAUUUCUGUUUUUGCCAUGCUGAAAGGAGGAAGGCAAUGAGGAACUGCCACUUCACAUCACCACCACAAUGAAGUUAUUCCUGCUCUACAAUUGGCAACUCAAUUAAUAUUUUUUCAUUAUUGUUUCCCUUGCCAAUCAAAAUCAGUUCAAACGUUUGACACUAUUUACGAAAUCUAACGUCUGAACUUUUAUUCCCAAGAUAGAGAAAGGCAAAGCAAGCAGCCAUAAUGUUGCACCACAAUCACUCUUAAACAAAUUUCAACAAACUUUGGUAUAUGCCAGAGGUGGUCUGACAGACAUUGAAAGGCAACCAGUUUCUAAUCCUAUUUAAUUUUUGUUACCAAAUGAAGCAUAGGUUGAAAGUAAUUGGGUUCGAAUUGAUGUGCAGUACUGACCUCUUCACAAAAUUUUUGUGAAACCACUUCCCAAUUAAAUUUUAAAUUCCAACUUUAUCCAGGUUCUAAUCCUCAAGUCAACCAUCAGUUUCACUGGCGAUGGCAUCACUAACAACAUGAUUUCUGCCACCCACCAUACCAGCCAGUUCUCCCAAUUAUUAGUGUAUCUGAAGCAAUAAUAAAAUUAUUGAAAUUCUAGGGUGCCAAUCCCUGCAGUUCCCGCCUCUCAAUAGGAAGCACACAACAAACUUCCAAUGACAGUUUAUUUCAGCAAGGGCAUCAACAACAAAGAAGAAGUUCCAGUUGUUCUUCAAUAAUUGCUAUUUAGAAGUUUAUCUUCCCGUAAUUGCUAUCCGAUGUGGCCUGUUGUUGCAGCCUAAGCUGGCGAAAGAUUUUUUUUGCAUCGAAGUUAACCUGUGGCUGUUCCUUGGUGCUGGUGUUGUGUUACGGAAGUUGCAACCAGUAUUUUAUCAACUGUCAUUGUGUCUGCAGUUUACCGUUUUAAUGAUAAGAAGGAAUAGAAAUAUGAGAGUGUUUAUGUCGAGCAAAUAAUAAAAAUUGCUUCGCGAUUGAGGAAGCAACGAGGGGGAAGUUGGGUGGGAGAUGUGAUAAAUAAAAUAAAAAUUUUGUGUUUUAUCAAAGAAGGUAAGUAGAAUAUCAGUUUUAAACCAUAGUUUUAAACCAUUAACUGUCCAAAAAUGAAAAAUUCCUCAUCCAUAAAAAUAUCCUUACACCACAUUCAUAAUUAAUUGAAACUAUACAUAUCUAUAAAUUUUUAUUACAUCAUAACUGUUAUUACUAAAUAUUUUUAACAUACUGUUAUAUUGCUUAAAUAAUAAUACUGUGCAAAACAAAUCUUUUUGUUUCGUGCAAGAUAUUAACAUACAUAUCAACAUCAUAUAUGACAAAAUUAUAUAAUUCUUUUAAACUACCUGACGCAGAUUUCCACGUUUUUCUCAUUCAUUACUUUAAUUGCCACAUACAGUCAAUCAAGACAGAGGAAGCUCUGCCUUGAUCGACUAUGCCUAGGGAGAUUAUCUGGACAAGGAAGAAGAGUUCGAAGCAAGUUUUACUAGGGUUAGACUCAUGACCCUUCAAAAGUUUUCCUCAGGUCAUGCGCCUUCCAAGUCCCCGUUCGACCAGAGCCCUUCACAUCCUCCUAGUUAUCACAGAGGGUAAGUGACCACCGGUGGGCGUUGGUUAGUGGUAAGUUAGGGAAACGGAGCCACAGAAAAGAAGGGAGCCCAGAUAUGUACUUGUAAGUUAUCUACAUCUACCUAAUUUAUUGAUAUUGAUCGAAAGCAAGCUCUUCUGUUACCGUCAAAAUCUUCAAAUUGUAGCACAAGGGCAAAGGGUUAACCUGAAAUUUAAUAAAAUGAUUAACUAAGAAAACAGUAAAAAAAAGAUUUUGAGAAGAUACCUGGAAUAAGUUCAACAUCUUUCUGCAUAUUCCACUAGUACAUAAGGUCUGGAACAGCGGUGAGGCCGCGAGGGAUUAAACUACACAGAUUAUUUAAAUGUCAAUUUAAAAAUAAGAUUCAUUGACAGCAAGCAAUACCUCAAAUGAAUCAUUGAAAGGAACCACAGAAAAGUAGAGCUCAACUGCUCAGGUAAGUACUUGCAAUUUAUCACCUAGAAAAAUCAAACAAAAUCCUCGAGACAAACACAAUGAAUUGUAGAUGUAGAAAAUGUUAUUGAGUGUUCAAACUGCAGCUCACCAAUAUUAAAAUCGGAAAACAGAAAGUCAAUUGAGUGAAAUGACGACUCAAAGUUCUUGGACUUGAGAUUAACCAUUUACAAAACGUUUACCUGAAAGACAAGAACAGAAAAUUUGUAAGAUAGCUGUGAUAUUACCAUUUUUAUUCCAUUUUUAGUAUAGGCACACUACAGCUGCAGGAUUGAUGACAGCUUAGAAUUCCUGGCCAGCUUCAACAAUGGUCGUCAUUACGAGGCAAAUGAAUAAUGAUGAACUGCUGUCACUCCAGGCGUCAGAUCCUUCCUUGGGAGCUUGGGACAAUCGUCUCGUCUGCAUGAAGCACUGGCAUCAUCUAGCGGUUGUUUUUAACAAUUUAGACGAUUGUCCAGUCUGCCGCUAGAUGGUGUGUAUUGUUUUUAAAAUGGCGAAAUGUGUGAAGAUUUUUGUCAUCUUCUGUUUUCGAAUUUUCAUGUUUUACUGCCCAAAAUCAACCAAUUAUUUACAUAAAAUGUACCUGCCGUCUAGUCAUAGACUACGAAGAUUAAAUUUGGACUCCAUUUAAAAAAACCAAUUGCUCAACCCUUCUGUGACUCACACGCUCAGCUUCAUCUGCAUCAUCCUCUCACAUCUUAGACAUAACUGCAAGCUGUUAUGCCCAAAAGUUGUGGCAUUGCAUAUACGGUUACAGGUUUCUUCUUGCCUUACACCUUUAAACACUUGGUGGGGUUGUUGCGUCAUGAAAUUGUAUUGCUGCCAUUUUUUCGGCAUCUCCCACUUCAUAGCUACAAGAAACGAGCCUACAACAGAAAAAAGCAUACAACAGAUUGAGAUAAAGGAAUUCAUAGGUUGUGUCGUAUGCCAUUGGAUCCAUUGGAUUUCGCGAGUCAGCCGCCGAUGUCAAUCUACAACGCAGUUUCUUUGUUGGAAUUGUGUGGUCCUGGCACAGAGAUCCUUGAUGCUGGCCUUUGUCCAUUACAGAAGAGUGACUUCUACCAAAUCUCUGCUCCAUCAUUAUCUUCGCUACCCACACUCAUCUAGCUUCUUUGCUUAUUAUGCUGCUAAACAAUUUAUCGUACUUCACUACCGAGUUAGACCAGUCGCUUCAGUCCGCCUGUCACUCUCCACCGAAUUAUGCCCAGAUGAGAUGUCAAGAAGAUGGAAUUCCGAGACUCGUCAUCAACGUGGAUCAUCGCGACCGGCACCAAGAUUCGUCAUCAACGCGGAUCAUCGUAUUGUUGGUAUUGUUUCGUUAUGUGUUAGUUAACCCGUUGGCUGCCACGCCUUUGUUCUCCCCUAGCUCCUUAGCACGGGCCGCGCUGUUCGGUCUCGUG